rnacentral:rRNA from 1 species
GACGAACGCUGGCGGCGUGCUUAACACAUGCAAGUCGAACGGAAAGGCCUUGCUUUUGUGGGGUGCUCGAGUGGCGAACGGGUGAGUAACACGUGAGUAACCUGCCCUUGACUUUGGGAUAAUUUCAGGAAACUGGGGCUAAUACCGGAUAGGAGCUCCUGCUGCCUGGUGGGGGCUGGAAAGUUUCGGCGGUUGGGGAUGGACUCGCGGCUUAUCAGCUUGUUGGUGGGGUAGUGGCUUACCAAGGCUUUGACGGGUAGCCGGCCUGAGCGGGUGACCGGCCACAUUGGGACUGAGAAGCGACGCAGACUCCUACGGGAGGCAGCAGUGGGGAAUAAUGCACAAUGGGCGGAGGCCUGAUGCAGCAGCGCCGCGGGCGGGAUGACGGCCGUCGGGGUGUAAACCGCUUUCGCCUGUGACGAAGCGUGAGUGGCGGUAAUGGGUAAAGAAGCACCGGCUAACUACGUG